AUGUGCAUACCUGCCCAUGCUCUCAUUUCCUACAAUACAGUGAUCCCAAUCCCAUUUCCUUGGUUUUCAGACAUUUUCACAGUUGUGUGUUCAGGCCAGCAAGUCCAGGAAGAGCAAUACAUCUUAAGCCAUGCAGUAUCUUGGGGGCAUUGUAUCACUGAAGAAACAAGAAAAAGUAUUUUCCCAGCAAACCAGUGGGAGAGCAGCAUAUAUCUAUACAGGCGUACCUUGAAAAUACUGUGGGUUCAGUUCCAGACCACUGCAAUAAAGCAAAUAUUGCAAUAAAGCAACUCAAAUGAAUUUUUUUGGCUUCCCAGUGCAUGUAAAAGUUUUGUUUAUACUGUAGUCUAUUAAGUGUGCAGAAAUAGGUCUAAAACAUAAUGUAUGUUCCUUAAUUUAAAAAUAUUACCCAAAAAUGCUAACCAUCAUCUGAGCUUUCGGCGAGUCAUAAUCACUAAUCACAGAAAACCAUAACAAGUAUAAUAAUGAUGAAAAAGUUUGAAAUACUGAGAAUUACCAAGAUGUGACACAGACACAAGUGAGAUGCUGUUUGCUUGACACAGGGUUGCCACAAACCUUCAAUUUGUAAAAAACGUAUCUGCGAAGCACAAUAAAAUGAGGUAUGUCUGUAAAUGGAAAACACUUUCUCCAAAAAUGUUGGUUUUAAAGUUAUAUUCAAUAUUAACAUAUUUUGGGGGUGCCUGGGUGGCUCAGUCAGUUAAGCAGCUGCCUUCGGCUCAGGUCAUGAUCCCAGGAUCUGCAUCAGGCUUCCCGUUCUUCUGCCCCUCCUCCCUGCUUGUGCUCUCUCUCUAAAUCUUUUAUUUAUUUGAAAGAGAGAGAGCACAAGCAGGGAGGAGGGGCAGAGGGAGAGGGAGAAGCAGGCUCCCCACUGAGCAGGGAGCCUGAGGAUGCAGGGCUGGAUCCCAGAACCCUGGGAAUGUGACCUGAGCCGAAGGCAGCUGCUUAACCGACUGAGCCACCCAGGUGCCCCUAAAUGGAUAAAAUCUUUUUUUUUUAAAUUACAUAUUUUAACACAAAUCUCCCAAGUUGAUAUUCAUUUCAUUCAUUAGAUCACAGCACUCUGAAGUCUUUACAGGCAAGGGAAGUGAAUAAUUGAACUACUCAUCCUGAUCAUUUUGGCAAAAAGUCCAGCUGCUUCAACUUCAAUCACCCAAUAAUCUAUGCCAAGUUUAUUUAUGAUAAGGAAAAAGAGGGGGACUUUCAUCUGAAUUAUAUUAACUAUCUGUGUCAGAUUGACAGAAACCUAGUCUAGGUAUGAACUACACUGUUCACACAGCGAAGGCUUUUAAAGCCUCUUAAAUUUAUUUUUCAGUCAUUUUACUACAAGUGAGCUGUAAACACUGUUAUAAAAAUUUUUCCAGGGACACCUGGGUGGCUCAGUCGCUAAGCAUCAGCCUUCGGCUCAGGGCGUGAUCCCAGGGACCUGGGAUCCAGCCCCGCAUCGGGCUCCCUGCUCCACUGGGAGCCUGCUUCUUCCUCUCCCACUCCCCCUGCUUGUGUUCCCUCUCUCGCUGGCUGUGUCUCUCUGUCAAAUAAAUAAAUAAAAUCUUUAAAAAAUUAAAAAAAUAAAAAAUUUUCCAGUUCUGCCCUUUUAAAUGAUAAUUCGGUGUUGUAAUUACUUGUCCAUGUGUCCUUGAGUCCCCACUAGGCUCUGAGCCUUACAAGAGAAGGCAGUUGUUUUGUUUCUCAUCUCUGAAUUCUCAGAAGCAAUAAUAUGCCUGGCGCAAAAAAAAAUUUUCUAAAGAUUUUAUUUAUUUGAGAGGGAGAGAGAGAGAGAGAUCAGGAGGGGCGAAAAGGGAGGGAGAAAGAAUCUGAAGCAGACUCCACAGUGAGUGAGGAGCCGGACGUGGGGCUCGAUCCCACGACCCUGAGAUCAUGAUCUGAGCCGAAACCGGGAGUCAGAUGCUCAACCGACUGAGCCACCCAGGUGCCCCCAGCACAAAUGUUUUGUCAAUAUUGCCUACUAUAUUAACAUAUCAGUACAGUAUUGAUAUUAUUGUUGGUCCAUACUGCCUCUUACAUACUGAGAUAACAUUCUUUUCCACUUACAUUUUCACGUGUCCACCUUAAUUUUAAGUUAAUAUCACUUUUAGAGAUAUGCUUCAUAUUUUGUAGAGGUACAAUACGUUCAGAAUAGUUUUAUUGGAUUUCACGAAAUACUGUCGUUUCUAAUUGAACACUCUCAGAAGCUACACACUAUUUUCAACAUAAAAGCAAAAAUACUUUGACCACA
ensembl:lncRNA